GAAAGAUUUUAUGCUUUAUGCUUGAAAGAUAGUGGUGUCUUAUAUGAGGAUCCAUACAUUCAGAUUGGUAUCAAAGCAGAGUGGAGGGCACAACAUGGGCAUCUUGUUCUUUUCUUGGGAAACAAAAAUACUUCUCCACUUGAUUCUGUUCAAGCUCUAGUACUGCCUCCUGCCCAUUUAAAAAUGGAGCUUUCAUUAGUACCUGAAACUAUUCCUCCACGAGCACAGGUACAAUGUCCACUUGAAGUCUUGAAUCUUCGACCAAGCAGGGAUGUUGCUGUUCUUGACUUCUCCUACAAGUUUGGUACCAACAUGGUGAAUGUGAAGCUUCGCCUUCCAGCAGUUCUGAACAAAUUUCUUCAGCCUAU
rnacentral:misc_RNA from 1 species